rnacentral:lncRNA from 1 species
CUUAUGAGAGACUAAGCCAGAACCACCCAGCUAAGUGGCUCCCACAUUCAUGACUCACGAAAACUGUGUCUUGGUUUUGAGCUAUAAAUUCUUGCUGCUAUCUUGGACUUUUCCUGAGAAUCUGAAUCCUUCAGCACAUCCUAUCACAUUCCACCAAUUCUUGACCUUCUGUUAUCCUCACCAGCCCCCCGGGCUUUGUUCAAAGUCCUGCAGGGAGGCUGCAGAGACAAUGGAAUGCACAGGCUGUGGUAGCUCAGCUGCGGGGACUGUCCAGGCGCCUAACUGGUUGUGUGAGGCUUUCAGAGAACGCUGCUCCUGUGCUGGGCUUCAGAGAGAGGGCUUGCUGCAGCACAGUGGGGUGGCCUCCUGCUGGUGGCCCAGGCCACAGGGAUAUGGAAACAUGUGUCUAGUC